UUCUCGAUAGGUGAAGAACUCUGGAAUGAGUCUUUGCCAAAAAGACGUUUACGUUAUGCUCGUAGGCGUCGCCCAAGGAUGAGGCCGCGACCGAUCAGGUUGUUGGUGAGGUAAUGGCUCACCAAGCCUUUUACCGGUGCGGGCCGUGAGAGCGGGAGCCCGGAGAUGGGCACUGAGACAAGGGCCCAGGCCCUACGGGGCGCAGCAGUCGCGAAAACUUUGCAAUACACGAAAGUGUGACAGGGCUAUCCCGAGUGCCAUCCGCUGAGGAAGGCUUUUACCCAGUCUAGAACGCUGGGGGAAUAAGGAGAGGGCAAGUCUGGUGUCAGCCGCCGCGGUAAUACCAGCUCUCCGAGUGGUGUGGAUGUUUAUUGGGCCUAAAGCAUCCGUAGCUGGCUGAGUUAGUCCCUUGUUAAAUCCACCGAAUUAAUCGUUGGAUUGCGGGGGAUACUGCUCGGCUAGGGGACGAGAGAGGCAGACGGUAUUUCCGGGGUAGGGGUGAAAUCCUAUAAUCCCGGGAAGACCACCAGUGGCGAAGGCUGUCUGCUAGAACGCGCCCGACGGUGAGGGAUGAAAGCUGGGGGAGCGAACCGGAUUAGAUACCCGGGUAGUCCCAGCUGUAAACGAUGCAGGCUAGGUGUUUGGACGGCCACGUGCCGUUCUAGUGCCGCAGGGAAGCUGUUAA
rnacentral:rRNA from 1 species